AAUACUAGGCAAAGAAUUCUACACAUUGGUCUCUGUCACCUGCCUGGAGACAUAGUUUCAUAUAAUUGACAUUCACAGUGGGUGAAUAUGGAAUUCUCUUCUGUAAAAUGCUUGCUUAGAAUGGAAAAAGCCCUAGACUUGAUCCCAGCACCAUAUAAACUGGACAUGGGGGCACACAUGAGCAACCCUGCACUCAGGAGGAUCAGAAUUCAAGGUCAGUCUUAGAUGCACAGAGAGUUUGAGUCCAGGCUGAGUUACUUAGGAUUCUACCCACCAAAAUUACAAUUGCCACUUAAUGAUUACAUGCAUUUUUUUCCCAGAGUUCAGAGGUGAAAGUUCAAAAUGACCGUCAAUUUUAAGUUUUCUUUAUGUGAGGCAGCAUAUCCUCAUGUUUCCAUGUUGAACAGGGACACUAGAAGGCAAAAUCAUAUGCAUCUACUUCCUUGUUCCUUUUAAUUUAAUAUUAUGAAAGGCAACUAUGUAAAUCUAAUAUGCUAUAUAAAUGAAUGUUGUCUUCAACUUCCUGACUAUACUGAAAUCCUGGAGAAGUCAUCAAGUGAGUGAAAGAGGCUGUGAGCAGUGAGAAGCAAAGAGAUUUUGUAAAUUCAUGGCAUAUCCUGACUAUUGUUGCCCGCAGGUAUCUAAGGAGGGGAAAAGACAGUGUUCCAAGAUUUCAGAGUCAAAACAAAACCAGAGACCUUUCAAAGAUAAAGACAGCUGCUACUUUUAAUAGAGAAGGAACGUUUUUGGAAUGUAUAAUAUCCAAAAAGGAAACCAUGAAUAUCUUUAAAUUCCUAGGGAAUAUCAAAAUAUGAUAUAGAAUGCCAUAAAAAGUAUGGAAAUAUGUGGGGGUUUGAGGCAUCCUGGGCCUUCCCCCAUUGCUUACUUUUUAGAGACCAGGUCUCAAUAUAUCCAACGUUGGUCUGGAAUUCGCUAUGAGUCCAUAUUGACCUAGAAGUCACUGUCUUCCUUAUCUGCCUCCUGACUACUUGUCUUAGAUUUCCGCAAUUCCAAACUUUGUUGAAUUUUCUUUUACUUUUCAAUUCUUGUUACAUUUUAUACAAGGCAUUGACUUUUUAACAAGAAUGUGUAUAUGGUUAUUUCCUCUCAACACAUGCUAAUCACUUUGAAGAAAAGGUGAUGGUUGUGUUAUAACAUGCUGUUGACUUCUGA